GAAUGCAGCCAGGGUUAAAGUAAUUGGUUCUCUUUUUGACCGCCGGCCAGCAUAGCUUUCUUCUAAACUGGAUGCAGGGUGAUAAUAUACGCGGGGUAACAGCUGGAUCAUGACACAAAAAUCAUGAGAUGAAUUAAAAACCUUAGUUGAUACACAGGGAGUAAGUCUUGUAUUGCAAGCCCACCAUCCAACCGGGGAAGGUACAAGAUAGUAAUUAGCUUCCGUUCUGGACACGGACUGAAUUUGUCCGCAUAGGUGUUUGUGAGUGGAAGGUGGGGUACCUAUACAGAGACCUGGAUUCCUCGCGGAUACUUCAGUCAGGGUCAGUUUUUGUCCUGUACCCCAAGAGCAGGAAGUAUGGCUGCUGGUUCUGUUGAAAUCUCCAUUGAAGGCGAUUCCUUCAUAAUAAGGCGGACCCAAGGACAGGCAUAGCCAGCAGUCCUCAGUAGCGCUUGGAUCAGUUCUGUUAAGGGCAUAAAAGGCUCCUCUCACUAGGUUAAACAUCCUCUGUCUUGAAGGAAUCGCGGGGGUAAUAGUUAGAGGUACCUGAGGAGUGGGAGGUUGGGUGAUAGCGGCCAUAUUAAGGGGGUCCGCAAUCACUGGAGUAGGCUGAGUAAUUGUAUGGGUGAGGGGUGUGAACUUGGUUGGGGGGCCUAAAGGAUUGUAGGGGGUCUCUAUUUUUAAUCUGAUAGUGAACAAUAAUCCCUCAUCAUAUCUUUCCUUGUAAAUCCUAAGACCCCAGGUAUACCCUUUUGUCCAUCCCAGAGCUCUCUUCCCUGGUUCAGUGAAGGUGACACGGAGCGGAUGGCACCAGUCAGUACACUCGUCUAGGUCAAAUCCUCCAGGUACAUAAGACGCUAGGGAAUAGUUGGCUGUUACUCUAAUAUAGUCCCAGCUCGAGGAGGGCUUCCAGCGGGCUGUACCUGAAGUCUCGCAACCCCAGCUCUUACAAAAGAAGUCAGCCUUACCUCCACACGUUGGAUUGAGGGACUGACUUCGGUGGGGCCCGGGGCAGACAUAGAAGGGAUGGGUUCGAAGCUUACUUCUAUCCCUUUGGUUAGAGCAACCACCCCAUGGGUCUCUCGAAUGUUUUUCUACGUACGGAGGGGGUGUUAAAGGUGCCCUCUGAAUGUCAGAGUACCCCUCCAAGUCCCAUCCAGGAGGGGCUCCUAUAGCCAACUUACAGAUGUCAGGGAAAAGAUCAG
rnacentral:lncRNA from 1 species